UUGCAGCCCGUUCUUCUCCUGAUGAUCUGCUGGCAUUUCUACACGAGCAGCUGGAGAUUGAGCAUGAGGCCGUUCGUGUGGCGUCUUUAGAUUUCCUGAGAGCUAUUGUUGGGGCUGACUUGCCUGAGACAAGAGUUAAAAAGCUUCUGAUUGUGAAGGCAGUGAAAUCUACUCUCAGUGAUCAGAAUGCUACGGUGAGGAAGGCAGCUCUUCAUUUCAUCAGGACGCUGCUCAGUUCAGGAAGUGUGGAGAAUUGUGCAGCAUGGGAUCUGGUAGCAUAUGUUUUCAGCGAGUUCAGUGUGUCCACCAGC